AAAAGAAUUUCACACAGCGAGCACCCUGGCAGUUUACACCAUCGUGUUAUAAUCUCAAAGAAUUAAAUUAGUGUGACAUAGGGAGCUCAUACCACAGUGCCCCUCCCGUGUAACAUACUGAUCCCAAAAGUAUUUAAUUUCACCACGCUUAUAUGGGAAAGAACCCCACCGUGUAAUCCAGCCGUGCCACGAAAUAAAGAUGGGUUUUAAGGUUCUUUCAGACAAAAGCAAAGAACUAGGUCUUCUAAAUCUCUCUUCUUCUUCCUUCUUCUCUCACUACACACCAUUACACUCCACCUCACACACCAAAGAACCAGAUUUAUUUCACUCUCAAUUUUAUCAUAUCUCUUGCAUGGAUUGAGUUUGGGUUUCUUUUAAUUUUUUAUAGAAAAUCAUGGUGCCUAAGAAGAAGUCUACCGCUAUAAGACCCACAAUGCAACUCCCUGCCAAAUAGCUAAGAAGAGAGAACAUUUAUUUUGUAAAUCCCUCCAACUGCAGCCCCUCUAGUUUCCUUUAAUAGGAACCAUCCUUUGGUUCAAUUUACUGACAAUGUCUCAAGAGCCAUUUUGAGCACAUAGCUAAGAAGAAGUUUUCCCCUACUCACCACUUCAAUAGGGAUUUUAUGAGGUUAGUGGUGUUUUAAAGAAAAAAUGAGAAGUUGGGUUAAUCAACCGGCAUGGAAAAAAAUUCUUUGAAAUCUUUGAACCCUCAUAUAGGGAGAACGCACUUGAGUUUAAUUAUUCUCUUCGAUUUCAAGUUACUAGAAGAUUGAUCGAAUAAAGAAAAGUAUUGAAUUCAGACUUGGGGGAAAGCAUUUUGAAAUGUCCGUGAAUGAAUUUGCAGUUGCUACGAGUAUCUACACUGCAAAUGAGGUAAAUUCUAAGGAUUAAUUGCAUGCUCCGUUUAAAUUCUAUGGUACCUGCAAUGUGGAACAAGUGUAGGAGAAGCUCGAUCCAAAUGCUCCUAGGAUGUAUAUAACCCGCCUAGCACAAAAUUUGGGCAUUUUCGAAGGUUUGUCCCCUAUGACACUCGAUGGCCUUCCAAAGCUUAUGGGGUAUGAGACCUUGCAGCAGAUGAACAAGGAAAAAUAGAUUAUAUUUAGUAUGCCUCCUCCAUAAGCUUCAUUUCCUUUUACUCCACCAAAGCAACUGGAACCUCCACAUGCUACAAAUAACACUUCUGAUGCAGCUAAUACUCCUACAGCCACUAGACCUUUAUAUUUGUCAUCCAUCCUCUGCCUAGUGGUGGUGAGCCAUACCGUGAUUAGAUGGCUUACAAUUAUAUUUGUUCGGAUCAGGAUAGGAAAUCGACUGAGUUUGAGCAGCAAAUUUAUCAUUUGGAGAUGCAGAUGCACGACUUACAAUGCCAAAAUAACAAGUUAUUGCAUAAAAUUAGAAUCAGAUGAUGGGUGUGCUUAGGAGCUAGCAAGAGAUGAUACAACAACAACAUAUAAGUACAUAUUGGUUUCAGAAUUCGAUGAUGCAUUAUUAGCAAUUCCAAAAUUACACUCCACUAAGGCUUCCAACUUGUUUCUAUUAGUAGCACCAGUUCUAGCCUGAUGAUGGAGUAGGUUUCUAUGACAUUAAUCCCGAUGAUAAUGAUAAUGAUAGUGAUGAGGACCUAGUUGAUGAUCCCGUAGUUAAUGGGGAUGGUGAUAUGGAGGACUGAACCUCCACUUUGCUUUGACAUUUGAGCUGGACUUUUAUAUGGCUUUGUUUUUAUGUCUUUAUUUUAUUUUUGAAUGACUGUACUUAAUUAGGAUAUUUGUGAUUUUAUGUUUUUGUGCUUUGUUUUUUAUUUUGGAUAACUGUUUAUCUUUAUAACCCCUACUUUUGCAUCUUAGCUUUUUGGUCUGUAAAUAGAUACGACAUGAAUUGCUAUGGAUUAUGACUCCAUAAGAAAUCAAUCUAACUUGGUAGGUUUUAUUC